GAUGAAAAAGUGAAAGAAAUAGAAUUUUUAAGCAUCUAUAAAACAAUUUCAUAGUUACCUCGAAAAUGUCAUACAAGAUUUGAAGUCAUGAAUUAUGUUAAACUAAAAUGAAAGAAAUAUGAUGAAAAAAAAUAAUGACAUAAAAUAUGCAUUGCCUUAUAGGGAUAGACAUUUCGCAAAGGUCGUGGGAUUAACUAUUGAUUUAAAUUAUAAUAUUUA